AGCAUCUACUUGUGAUGUUCUCUAUGAGCCGAGCAAAAUUUAUAAAAUUCACAGAUGCAAAUUUAAAGUUGGAAUCAAAGCAAAGACUUACAAAACAAAGCAUUUCUUUUUAUUUAUUAAAGUCUUUAUAAAGAAAAAGCUGGUGCUCCAAGCACUUUACAAAGAAAAGCUAGUAUUUUGAACACUUUAUAAAGAGAGGAUGGUUGUUCUAGGCACCAUCUUGCAAACAAGAGAAGAAAAUAAGGAAGAAAAGAAGAAGAUGAGGAGGGACGUCCCUCUGCAAUCCAUG
rnacentral:lncRNA from 1 species